rnacentral:rRNA from 1 species
UACGUAGGGUCCGAGCGUUGUCCGGAAUUAUUGGGCGUAAAGAGCUCGUAGGCGGUUUGUCGCGUCUGCUGUGAAAUCCCGAGGCUCAACCUCGGGCCUGCAGUGGGUACGGGCAGACUGGAGUGCGGUAGGGGAGAAUGGAAUUCCUGGUGUAGCGGUGGAAUGCGCAGAUAUCAGGAGGAACACCAACGGCGAAGGCAGCUCGCUGGGACGGUACUGACACUGAGGCGCGAAAGCGUGGGGAGCGAACAGG